rnacentral:rRNA from 1 species
GCUAGUGACGAUAGCAAGUUGAAUGCACUGGUUCAACAUGGAGCACUGAAGUUAAGCAACGUUACAUGUGGUUAGUAUCCGGAUGGGUGACCAUCCAGUGACGAUAGCGGGCGUUUGUC